UGAUGACAAACGUGCACGUGGCCAGC
rnacentral:piRNA from 1 species